rnacentral:rRNA from 1 species
GACGAACCGUCCAAACGUUAUUCGGAAUUACUGGGCGUAAAGGGUGCGUAGGCGGCGGGGCAAGUCUGAUGUGAAAUCCCGGGGCUCAACCCCGGAACUGCAUUGGAUACUGCCUUGCUUGAGUACUGGAGAGGGAAGUGGAAUUCCCGGUGUAGUGGUGAAAUGCGUAGAUAUCGGGAGGAACACCAGUGGCGAAGGCGACUUCCUGGCCUGUUCUUGACGCUGAGGCGCGAAAGCUAGGGUAGCAAACGGG